rnacentral:rRNA from 1 species
GUUUGGGGGAAAUUAUGGGAAUCUUCACUGCCGAGUAAAGUCAAGAUACAUGCAUGGAAGGUGUUGCAUGGGUUUUUGCCAUGCUUUGGAGUCCUCGCGAAUCGUCAUAUAGUUAUGCCCACGAACUGUCCAAUGUGUGCAGGAGGAUGCGAGGAUAUAAAGCAUGUCCUGUUUACUUGUCCAAGAGCGGCCGAGAUUUGGAGAUGUUUAAAGUUGGAUGGGUUUGUGGAGGAGGCAUGCGAGGUGGAUAGAGCUGGUUCAUCGGUGUUGGACUACAUUUUAUGUGCACCGCGGAGAGGAAGUUUACUUCCGGAUGUCAGUGCGCAGACCCUAGUCCUUGUGGGAGUGUGGUACGUGUGGUGGGAAAGAAGGCAAAAGGUCCAUGAAGAGGAAGUUCAAACGCCAGCCCGAUCGGCGCUGCCAAUUUUUGCUCUACCUGCUAACUACACGAACGCCAGGAAGAAGGAGAUGGGAGUACAGAAGGGCUGAUGGACCAAGCCAAGGGAGGGAUUCGUGAAGCUCAACGUUGAUGCAUCAUUUUAUGCACAGAAUUUGAAUGGAGCAGUCGGGGCAGUGCUUAGGGAUCAAAGGGGGUUUUUAGCAGCCUCCAACGACAAGCUGGAGCAUGUCUCCCAUGCAGCAUCAACAGAAGCAUAUGCAUUGAGGCAUGGCCUCCUACUAGCGCAACAAAUGGGAGUAAGCAAGCUGGUUGUGGAGGCGGAUUGUGCGGAGGUGAUCGAUACAAUGAACUCGGGUGGCUUCACUGCAACAGGAGCGGCGGCAAUUUAUGCAGAUUGCAAUGUCUUAUCAGUAGGUUAUACUUCGGUGUCUUUCAUUCCCUGCCCUAGAAAGGCAAACCAUGUCUCCCAUGAACUAGCUAGGCUGGCGGCUUUUAAUCCACCCGGUUUGUGGGUUGAGGAACCACCGGCAUCUAUCGUAAGGUGGCUGGUGUAA